rnacentral:lncRNA from 1 species
ACUCUAUCUCUUUCAGAUAUCGUAGAUGCUAUGAGAGGUACUCUGCAUGAAAGGCCGUCAGGAACUGUUCCCAAGUGACUGAAAAGGGUAGGGUGGUCUGCUUGAGUUACCACCAGUGGUCUGCUUCUCCCACAAGCAUGUAGGUAGCAAGGAUAACCUUCUGUUUGGGAAUCACCCCAAGGGUUUUGAAGGCAUUCUCUUUCUCAGCAAACCAGAACUCGGCCUCUUCAAAGGAGGAUCCUCCUGCAAAAAUAGAUGAAUUUAGCUUUUUAUACCUUUCUAUGUAGCCUGGGUCCAUUAUGAGAGGAGUUGGGUCCCGUGGAUGAAGGACUGGACUCUACUGAGGAUGGACUGGAUGGUCCUGCAGUGAUACUUGAUGAUACAGUUGAGGCACCAGAUUGUACUGUGGUGGUGUCGGAUGAUGUGAUGGCUGGGGCAUCGGAUCAUACUGUGGUGGGGCAGGAUCAUAUCGGAGUGGCUCGGGAUCCUCCCGAUGUAGGGGUGGCUCAACCUGUGGUAGCGGGAGAGGGUAAGGUAGCUCCCUCCUUUCCUCCCAGGCCUGCUGAGCAGUAAUGAGUCUCUCCACUAUCUCAAAUAACCAGUCAAUAUCCUCUCUAAGUGAACUCUCCCGGGCUAUUCAGUUUAGUGGGAGUCUUCUUCUCCUCAUCUAUCUAUACUUGCAUUUCACAAUGAAAGUUGAGUGACAAUUCAUUAUUUUUUGUGUUUCUUAAGAAUUUUGUGUAAAGAAUAAGUUCGAGGAACGCGGCUCU